GUAAGGAAUAUUGGUCAAUGGAGGGAACUCUGAACCAGCCAUGCCGCGUGCAGGAUGACUGCCCUAUGGGUUGUAAACUGCUUUUGUCAGGGAAUAAACCUUUCCACGUGUGGGAAGCUGAAUGUACCUGAAGAAUAAGGAUCGGCUAACUCCGUGCCAGCAGCCGCGGUAAUACGGAGGAUCCAAGCGUUAUCCGGAUUUAUUGGGUUUAAAGGGUGCGUAGGCGGUCCUAUAAGUCAGUGGUGAAAGACGGCAGCUUAACUGUCGCAGUGCCUUUGAUACUGUAGGACUUGAAUCUAUUUGAAGUGGGCGGAAUAAGACAAGUAGCGGUGAAAUGCAUAGAUAUGUCUUAGAACUCCGAUUGCGAAGGCAGCUCACUAAGUUAGUAUUGACGCUGAUGCACGAAAGCGUGGGGAUCAAACAGG
rnacentral:rRNA from 1 species